AAGUCGUAACAAGGUUUCCGUAGGUGAACCUGCGGAAGGAUCAUUAAAGAGUGUUUGAGAUUUUUUAAAUCUCUACCUCCCACCCUUGUGUUAAGAGUCUGUGUACUCUACUUUGGCAACUAAGUCAAAAUUUGGCGAGGGUGCCAUAGUGAAACUUUCAAAACUCUGUUAUCAACUUCAGUUGUCUGAGUAACUAUAAAAUAUAUCAAAACUUUCAACAACGGAUCUCUUGGUUCUGGCAUCGAUGAAGAACGCAGCGAAAUGCGAUAAGUAAUGUGAAUUGCAGAAUUCAGUGAAUCAUCGAAUCUUUGAACGCACAUUGCGCCUUUUGGUAUUCCGUGAGGCAUAUCUGUUCGAGCGCCGUUUUCUAUCUCAAGCUAUAUAGCUUGGUGUUGAGUAGAGUCAUUAGACCCUAUUUAAAACUUAUUGGCAAUCAGUCUUAUAAGUCGGUAGUUUGACAAAAAUCUAGCUACAUGUCUCAAGGAUUAGAUUUGCAUAUCAAUCUGAAAAUGAUGGCCUCGGAUCAGAUAGGGUUACCCGCUGAACUUAAGCAUAUCAAUAAGCGGAGGAAAAGAAACCAACAGGGAUUGCCUUAGUAACGGCGAGUGAAGCGGCAUCAGCUCAAAUUUGAAAUCUGGCAACAGCCCGAAUUGUAAUUUGUAGAGGAUAGUUUGGCUAAGGUAUGGGUCUGAGUCUUCUGGGAAGAAGCACCUUAGAGGGUGAGAGUCCCGUAUUAGGCCUUAUUCCAAAGCCAUGUAAACUUCCUUCGACGAGUCGAGUUGUUUGGGAAUGCAGCUCAAAGUGGGUGGUAAAUUCCAUCUAAAGCUAAAUAUUGGCCGGAGACCGAUAGCGCACAAGUAGAGUGAUCGAAAGAUGAAAAGCACUUUGAAAAGAGAGUCAAACAGUACGUGAAAUUGUUGAAAGGGAAGCGCUUAUGAUCAGACUCGUUUACAGUUGCUCAGCCGUCAGGCGCAUUCUUCUGUAUUUGGGCCAGCAUCAAUUUCGAGGGUUGGAUAAAAACAUUAGGAAUGUGGCUCUGCGGAGUGUUAUAGCCUUUUGUAAUACAGCCAUUCGGGAUUGAGGUAUGCGUCUUCAUGGAUGCUGGCAUAAUGGUCAUCAGCGGCC
rnacentral:rRNA from 1 species